rnacentral:lncRNA from 1 species
UUCUAAAUAAACUUUAAUUCAAAUUUAUUAUUAGAGAUAACUUCAAAAAAAAUUCUUGUAUUUUCGUAGUUUCUCACUUUGCCCCUUCUAUAGUUUAAAAUAUAUUUGUGGUUUUUUUUUUCUCUUUUUCUUAUCAAUUUCAUUAUUUUUUUUUCUUAAAUCAGUGAUAAAGUUAAAAUUAAAGGGUACUAAAGUGAAUAUUUGAUAAAUCCAGAUGGGUAUCUGAAGUUUUUUAUAUAUAAUUUAAUAAAAUAUUAACGAAAAAGUUACCGAAAAGAUAAAAACGAAACCACAUGAAGGAAAAUUAAUAUAUUUUAAACCACAGGGGCGCAAAGUGAGAAACUACGAAACCACAGGGGUGGUAUUUGAAGUUUUUCCUUAUUAUUAUCUUACAAUUAAUAUAUAAAA